GAUGAACGCUAGCUACAGGCUUAACACAUGCAAGUCGAGGGGCAGCAUGUUGGUUGCUUGCAACCGACGAUGGCGACCGGCGCACGGGUGAGUAACGCGUAUCCAACCUACCCUUGUCCAUCGGAUAACCCGUCGAAAGGCGGCCUAACACGAUAUGCGGUUCUCAGCAGGCAUCUAACGAGAACGAAAUGUGAAGGAGAAGGAUGGGGAUGCGUCUGAUUAGCUUGUUGGCGGGGUAACGGCCCACCAAGGCAACGAUCAGUAGGGGUUCUGAGAGGAAGGUCCCCCCACAUUGGAACUGAGACACGGUCCAAACUCCUACGGGAGGCAGCAGUGAGGAAUAUUGGUCAAUGGACGGGAGUCUGAACCAGCCAAGUAGCGUGCAGGACGACGGCCCUAUGGGUUGUAAACUGCUUUUAUAGGGGGAUAAAGUGUGCCACGUGUGGCAUAUUGCAGGUACCCUAUGAAUAAGGACCGGCUAAUUCCGUGCCAGCAGCCGACGG
rnacentral:rRNA from 1 species